rnacentral:snoRNA from 1 species
UGCCUCCUGGUGCUUACCACAGGCUGUGUUCUUACUCUGACUGUAUAGACAGAGGAAGCACUCCGAUACUG